rnacentral:rRNA from 1 species
UCUUCGGCAAUGGACGAAAGUCUGACCGAGCAACGCCGCGCGAGUGAAGAAGGUUUUCGGAUCGUAAAACUCUGUUGUUAGAGAAGAACAAGGAUGAGAGUAAAAAGUUUAUCCCUUGACGGUAUCUAACCAGAAAGCCACGGCUAACUACGUGCCAGCAGCCGCGGUAAUACGUAGGUGGCAAGCGUUGUCCGGAUUUAUUGGGCGUAAAGCGAGCGCAGGCGGUUUCUUAAGUCUGAUGUGAAAGCCCCCGGCUCAACUGGGGAGGGUCAUUGGAAACUGGGAAACUUGAGUGCAGAGGAGGAGAGUGGAAUUCCAUGUGUAGCGGUGAAAUGCGUAGAUAUAUGGAAGAACACCAGUGGCGAAGGCGGCUCUCUGGUCUGUAACUGACGCUGAGGCUCGAAAGCGUGGGGAGCAAACAGGA